rnacentral:lncRNA from 1 species
GGGAGGCGUGCAUGCGUGGUGUGUGCUUUGCACGCACACACAGGGAUGUCUGCAUGUGUGGCAUGUGCUUUGCACGCUCGCGGGGAGGCGUGCAUGCGUGGCGUGUGCUUUGCACGCACACACAGGGAUGUCUGCAUGUGUGGCAUGUGCUUUGCACGCUCGCGGGGAGGUGUGCAUGCGUGGCGUGUGCUUUGCACGCAUGCAGGGAUGUGUGUACGUAUGGUGUGUGCUUUGCACACGCACGGGGAGGUGUGCACAUGCAGUAUGCUUUGCACGCACGCAGGGAUGUCUGCAUGCACGGCGUGUGCUUUGCACACAUGCCGGGAGGUGUGCAUGCGUGGCGUGUGCUUUGCACGCACRYGGGGAUGUGCACAUGUAGCAGAGGGCUGGGUAAACACACACGGAGAUGCACACACAGAGCAAGACGGGGCAAAGACACACAGAGAUGCACACACAGAUUUGCACACGCACACACCGUGCUGUGCAAACACAGACAAGUGCAAACACGCACGGAGACGGGCCUGUGCCGGCUGCGCUUUGCAGAGACAAGGAGCUACGCGCAAACACGCAGAGCCGCACACGCAGAGCAGUGCUGUGCACACGUGCGUGCACAACCCCAGCAGUGCCGCGCACACGCGUGCACACACGCAGACACACGCACGCCCCCGGGCGUGCUGCACACACGGAGCAGUGCUGCACACACGCGUGGGCACACGCACACACACGCACACCCAGCCGUGCCAGGUGUGCGGGGCAGCGCGGGCACGCUCAGCGCGGCACGCUCGCACGCGGGGCACGCUCACACGCGCGGCACGCUCACCUGGAAGGUGCCGGCCUUGAGCAGCAGCACCUGGUCGUGCUGGCCCAGGGCCUGGAAGCCGGGGAUGCUCUUGGCGAACUCCACCACCUCGGUGACGGCGGGCGUGAAGCAGCGCGAGAAGUCCUGCCAGGCCUGCUGCCGGCUGCCGCCCGCCCCGCACCACGGGCUGCGGUUCAGCGGGCAGGCCUGCGGCCCCCGUCAGCCCCCGCCCCACGGCAACCCACCCCUGGGGGCCUGCCCCACGGGUCUGGGGGGGCUCGGACCCCUGGGUGCCCACCCCACGGGCUUGGGGAGGGAUGGACCCCUGGGUGCCCACCCUAUGGGUUUGGGGAGGGAUGGACCCCUGGGUGCCCACCCCAAGGGUUUGGGGGGGACUCAGACCCCUAGGGGCCUGCCCCACGGGUCUGGGGCGGCUCGGACCCCUGGGUGCCCACCCCAUGGGUUUGGGGGGGCUCAGACCCCUGGGUGCCCACCCUAUGGGUUUGGGGGUGCUCGGACCCCUCGGCACCCACCCCAUGGGUCUGGGGGGGCUCGGACCCCUGGGUGCCCGCCCCAUGGGUUUGGGGGGGCUCGGACCCCU